rnacentral:rRNA from 1 species
ACGGGGUGCAGCAGGCGCGAAACCUUUCGCAAUGCGCGAAAGCGCGACGAGGUUAUUCUGAGUGAUUCCCCGUUGAGGAAAUCUUUUCCUAGAUCUAAAUAGUCUGGGGAAUAAGGGGAGGGCAAGUCUGGUGUCAGCCGCCGCGGUAAUACCAGCUCCUCGAGUGGUCAGGGCGUUUAUUGGGCCUAAAGCAUCCGUAGCCUGCUCAGUAGGUCUCCUGUUAAAUCCAACGGCUCAACCGUUGGCCUGCAGGAGAUACCGCUGGGCUAGGAGGCGGGAGAGGCGGACGGUACUCCGAGGGUAGGGGUAAAAUCCUUUGAUCCCCGGAAGACCACCAGUGGCGAAGGCGGUCCGCCAGAACGCGCUCGACGGUGAGGGAUGAAAGCUGGGGGAGCGAACCGGAUUAGAUACCCGGGUAGUCCCAGCUGUAAACGAUGCGAGCUAGGUGACACGACGCCUUCGGGGCGUCGUGGUGCCGCAGGGAAGCCGUUAAGCUCGCCGCCUGGGGAGUACGGACGCAAGUCUGAAACUUAAAGGAAUUGGCGGGGGAGCAC